AUGGUUCCCAAAGGCUGCAUCCUAGGUAAGGAGGACAGGACCCCAUUCCUACCUGAGCCCAUCUCCCAACUCAGCCACCUCCAGGGCUCGCUCCCCACUCUACCCUACACCUCAUCCAUGUUCCCAUGCCUGGCCACCUCCCCAGACAACUUGCUCACAUCAAUUCCCCACUCACAGCCCCAGGUCAGUCCCAUCCACAGCCCUGCUUUAGUCCCUGAACUACUGACCAAAGCCAUACUGAGCCCUGAUUCCACUCCCACCCAAUCUUCUAAAUGUCAGUGCCAGUCACACCUGUGGCUGCCUGGUUACCAACUCCUCCUCUUCCCUCUCCCACAGCUGUCUUGGCUGCUGUCUGCAUCGUCAGGCUCCUCUGCUCACAAGGAGCCCCAGUGGCCCCCACAAGUCCUUACCUGAUGCUGUGCCAGCCGCAUCUGAGAUGUGGGGACAAAUUCUACGACCCCCUGCAGCACUGUUGCUAUGACAAUGCUGUCGUGCCCUUGGGCAGAACCCGGGGGUGUGGAAACUGCACCUUCAGAGUCUGCUUUGAGAAGUGCUGUUCCUGGUACAGGAACAGCCCCCAGCCAUCCCUUAUGGUGAAGCUGGUAGACCAGAACUGCACCUCAGAGCCCACCUUGGACGACAAGCCCUGUCACAGGUGAGUCCUGUCCCCUCCAUGGGAUUGUGGUGCAGGGAAGCAGGGGAGACCCCAUUCUCCGUGUCUCCCUGUCUCUCCCUUUCCCUACACCUUGUUUCUUCCUCCAUUUAUUUUUAUUUCCCUCUCAGAACCUCACUCAACACUGCCGUCCUCUCCUCCUGGCUCUCCUGUCCUCUUUUCUGCCCAUGUCCAGUCUCUCCCCCCAUCUCUGGGCAUCUCUGUCCUGCUCAGUGUCUCUCUCUGUCACUCUCUCCAGUCUCAGCUGAUGGAACAUCAGGGGAACUAUAACUCCUGGAUUCUGUUUCCUGGAUGGGCCCAGAGACUCUAACCUCUCACGAUGACCCCUAUGGCUGACAUCAAGCAGGCAGUACCCCAACACUGGCUUCUUCAAGGCUGUCCCUUCUGUAAGACACUUCAUUAGUUUAGGUCCCUUCUCUCCCAGGAACAAUAUGCACACAUUUAAUAAAUGUAUGUACUUUGUUUAAUGUUGUAGAAUGUAUGAAUUAUUAGAGGGCUUGGUCGGCUGGAAGGGGUCAUAGACAGUGACAUCAGUCCCUCUUUCCUCUGUCACCCUGAGGCAGCCAGGCUUCUCCACUUAUUCUGUCAGAGGCGUUGGAACCAGAGUGACUCCACGUUGAGUGAGGGCUAGGGAAAUGAAGCUGGGACUUGCUGGGCUGCAUUCCCACAAAGUUAGACAUUCCUAGACUCAAGAUGUUUACAGUGAAGGGGACAGAUUAAUGUUUACUGGAACAGACCCAGAUUUGGGAGUGUCCCGACAGACUUGGGGGUGUCCCGAUAUCUGCAGAUUCCUAAUUUUGCUUUAAAGAUAAUACCAUUUCUUGCAAAAUAUAGUAACUAAGAAAACUAAUCCUUUAUCACAAACCCUUACAGUAGAAUGCAUCUCCUCACAUAUAGGAGCACUGUCCCGAGGACAAACACGUUCCUCCUCUUACUUUUGGGAAUGCCCUACUCUGUCUAAGCUGUCUAUGGAGUAGCUGUACUUUCGCCACUAAGCUUUUAUUAUUAUUUUUUGAGACGGAGUCUUGCUCCAUCACUCAGGCUGGAGGGAGGUGGCAGGAUCUCAGCUCACUGCAGCCUCCACCUCCCAGGUUCAAGCAGUUCUCCUGCCUCAGCCUCCAGAGUAGCUGGGACUACAGGCUUGCACCGCCACACCUGGCUAAUUUUUGUAUUUUUAGUAGAGACAGGGUUUCAUUAUGUUGGCCAGGAUGGUCUGGAUCUCUUGACCUCAUGAUCCACCCACCUUGUCCUCCCAGAGUGCUGGGAUUACAGGCCGUGCCCGCCCCCCACUGUUUUUUGUUUUUUUGUUUUUUCUUUUUUGAAAUGAGUGCAAUGGCCGGGGGCAGUCUUGGCUCACUGCAACCUCCGCCUCCCAGGUUCAUGCAAUUCUCCUGUCUCAGCCUCCAGAAUAGCUGGGAUUACAGGCACCCGCCACCACGCCCGGUUGUAAUGUUUGCAGUUUUAGUAGAGAGGGGGUUUCACCAUGUUGUCCAGGCUCGUCUGGAACCCCUGACCUCAAGUGAUCCACCCGCCUCGGCCUCCCAAAGUGUUGCAAUUACAGGCACGAGCCGCCACGCCCAGCCCAUACUUCCUUAAUAAACUUGCUUUUGCUUUGCACUGGGGAUUCGCCCUGAAUUUUUUCUUGCGUGAGAUCCAACGAACCAUCUCCUGGGAUCUAGAUCAGAACCCCUUUCCUGUAACAGCUCCUUAUGUGCACACUAUUCCUUUUUCUUUCUUUUUUUCACCUAUUUUUAAAAAUAAUUUUAAUACAGAAAGGGCACAAGAGGGGCGACCGGCCUUAUUCUUCCAUCCGCGAUGGGGAGAUGGCUGCAGCCACCGCAGCGACAAGGGCCACAGGUUCACCCUCCCACGCCCACAUCUGCCCUCCCACUGCUUUCAGAACCCAGUCGCAGUUCUAGGAGGAGCACGGGUUGAGGGUGGAGGCGGGAAUCACAAGAGGGCAGCAGAGGGUGGUGGGAUGGGCACCUGGAGACCAAGGCGGCGGCAGAGCCUGAGCCAGAGCAGGUGCGGGCGGGGCAGAGGCCGUGGGCUGGGGAGGAGCCCUCAAGGAUUCAGAGUGGAAGGAAGGAAAGGACACGUGGAGGGCGCGGACCGGGGAGGAGCCCCGGGAUGGAGAUGGCGGGAGAGGGAAGGAGGAAAGGCCAGCAGAGGGCACAGGACUCUCAGCCACCAGGUCCGGCGCUCUAGAAAAACCCUCAUGCUCAGAGCUGACUAGGAAUAGGUCGCAGAAACGGGGCCACGUUGCUCCUUAUUCGACCCAAAAGCAGGUCCCGAGGAAGGCUUCAGCCCCAGGGUCCCCACCAACGUGAAGGCAGAGGGGCUGCCACCUUUCCGGGCCUCGUUUCCCGGGUGAGGGUCUCUGCGCAGGACCCAGACCCACGCCCCUGGGCCUCGAAGUCACCAGAGGCCAAUCCAGGCUCCCGGACUGCCCGAGGCCUUCCCCGGCGGAUUCUGACUCAGAGGGUUCCGUCAUCGCCUCCUAGAUGGCAGCAUCGCCUCAGUAGCCCCAGCCCGGCCCAGGCGCCAGGUGUCUGCACCUGCGGGAACUCUGGACCCGGCACAUCACAUGGCAGCAAUUUGGCAUCACAGAGCACACUCCUGUCUCACAGGCCUAACCCCAGCCAGGCCUAUCAGUGGGCGCACACCCAGUGCUGGGUGAGCUCUGCCUCCCCAUCCCAGGAUUCUGCAGGGUGUGAGGGCUGAGCUAAGGCUCCCUCCUGUGUGAGGGAGCGACAGACCCAGGCCACCAAUGGGGCGGUGCUUCAUCAUCCUCCACAGCGAGCUCCUAAACCUGCACCCUGUCCACACGUGACUCUCCCUGCCUCCACCCCCCGCCCCAGCACCCCGGUCCAUGAAAUGAUCUCAACUGAUUGUUCACACGGGAAAUUAAAAACCUUCAAGUGGCUCCAGGAGAGCAGGAGAGAGGCGGGUAUCCCGGCUCAGACCCCGCCCCGGGAGGCCCCCACGAAGC
ensembl:lncRNA